rnacentral:rRNA from 1 species
AGCGAACGCUGGCGGCAGGCUUAACACAUGCAAGUCGAGCGGGCACUUUCGGGUGUCAGCGGCGGACGGGUGAGUAACGCGUGGGAACGUGCCCUCUGGUUCGGAAUAACUCAGGGAAACUUGAGCUAAUACCGGAUACACCCUUUUGGGGAAAGGCUUGCUGCCGGAGGAUCGGCCCGCGUCUGAUUAGCUAGUUGGUGAGGUAACGGCUCACCAAGGCGACGAUCAGUAGCUGGUCUGAGAGGAUGAUCAGCCACACUGGGACUGAGACACGGCCCAGACUCCUACGGGAGGCAGCAGUGGGGAAUAUUGGACAAUGGGCGCAAGCCUGAUCCAGCCAUGCCGCGUGAGUGAUGAAGGCCUUAGGGUUGUAAAGCUCUUUUAUCCGGGACGAUAAUGACGGUACCGGAGGAAUAAGCCCCGGCUAACUUCGUG